AACGAACGCUGGCGGCAGGCUUAACACAUGCAAGUCGAACGAGAUCUUCGGAUCUAGUGGCAGACGGGUGAGGUACACGUGGGAACAUCCCUUUCAGUUCGGAAUAACGUUGGGAAAAUAACGCUAAUACCGGACACGUCCUUCGGGAGAAAGAUUGAGCGCUGAAAGAUUGGCCUACGUCUGAUGAGCUAGUUGGAGAGGUAAUGGCUCACGAAGGCUACGAUCAGUAGCUGGUCGGCGAGGAUGAUCAGCCACAUCGGGACUGAGACACGGCCCAAACGCCUACGGGAGGCAGCAGUGGGGAAUAUGGGAGAAUGGGCGCGAGCCUGAUCCAGCCAUGCCGCGUGAGUGAUGACGGCCUUCGGGUUGUAAAGCUCUUUUGUCCGGGAAGAUAAUGACUGUACCGGAAGAAUAAGCCCCGGCAAACUUCGUGCCAGCAGCCGCCGCCG
rnacentral:rRNA from 1 species